CACGUAGGACGCGAGCGUUAUCCGGAUUCACUGGGCGUAAAGCGCUUGCAGGCGGUCUGAUAAGUUGGACGUGAAAGCCCUGAGCUUAACUUGGGGAGGCCGUUCAAUACUGUCAGGCUAGAGGGAGGCAGAGGAGAGUGGAAUUCCCGGUGUAGCGGUAAAAUGCAUAGAUAUCGGGAGGAACACCAGUGGCGAAGGCGACUCUCUGGGCCUACCCUGACGCUCAGAAGCGAAAGCCAGGGGAGCAAACAGG
rnacentral:rRNA from 1 species